CGGUCGCUGCCAGGUGCGUUAACCGGAAAAUUCCUGGGGCCAAUAUUUUUUUCUCGGGAGCUGUCCCUGCCGGGCUCGUGGGCUCGGUAUAUGGCGCCCACCUGCAUAUGCAGGCCACAGAGAAUAGAAUGGACAACGGCCACCGCGGCGCCGUC
rnacentral:other from 2 species